rnacentral:lncRNA from 1 species
UCAUGUUAAAUUAAUAAAGUUAAGUAUCUCUAUGGCGGAUGUUAACAGGGAAAACAUUGAAUUGCAUAAGCAGUCUAAAGAAGUUAAAGCACUAUUAGAUAAAAUGCUAGAGUCCUCAUCUUGUACAAAUGACUGU